UAGCUCAGAGGUAGAGUGCUUGCUUAGCCUGCAUGAGCAUGAGGUCCUGGGUUCAAUUCCCAG
rnacentral:tRNA from 1 species